AUUUCCUACGGGAGGCAGCAGUGGGGAAUAUUGCACAAUGGGCGGAAGCCUGAUGCAGCAACGCCGCGUGCGGGAUGACGGCCUUCGGGUUGUAAACCGCUUUCGCCUGUGACGAAGCGUGAGUGACGGUAUGGGUAAAGAAGCACCGGCUAACCACGUGCCAGCAGCCGCGGUGAUACGUAGGGUGCGAGCGUUGUCCGGAUUUAUUGGGCGUAAAGGGCUCGUAGGUGGUUGAUCGCGUCGGAAGUGUAAUCUUGGGGCUUAACCCUGAGCGUGCUUUCGAUACGGGUUGACUUGAGGAAGGUAGGGGAGAAUGGAAUUCCUGGUGGAGCGGUGGAAUGCGCAGAUAUCAGGAGGAACACCAGUGGCGAAGGCGGUUCUCUGGGCCUUUCCUGACGCUGAGGAGCGAAAGCGUGGGGAGCGAACAGGCUUAGAUACCCUGGUAGUCCACGCUAAACGGUGGGUACUAGGUGUGGGGUCCAUUCCACGGGUUCCGUGCCGUAGCUAACGCUUUAAGUACCCCGCCUGGGGAGUACGGCCGCAAGGCUAAAACUCAAAGGAAUUGACGGGGCCCCGCACAAGCGGCGGAGCAUGCGGAUUAUUCGAUGCAACGCGUAGAACCUACCUGGGUUUGACAUGGAUCGGGAGCGCCCAGAGAUGGGUGUGCCUCUUUUGGGGUUGGUUCACAGGUGGUGCAUGGCUGUCGUCAGCUCGUGUCGUGAGAUGUUGGGUUAAGUCCCGCAACGAGCGCAACCCUUGUUCACUGUUGCCAGCACGUUAUGGUGGGGACUCAGUGGAGACCGCCGGGGUCAACUCGGAGGAAGGUGGGGAUGACGUCAAGUCAUCAUGCCCCUUAUGUCCAGGGCUUCACGCAUGCUACAAUGGCUGGUACAGAGAGUGGCGAGCCUGUGAGGGUGAGCGAAUCUCGGAAAGCCGGUCUCAGUUCGGAUUGGGGUCUGCAACUCGACCUCAUGAAGUCGGAGUCGCUAGUAAUCGCAGAUCAGCAACGCUGCGGUGAAUACGUUCCCGGGCCUUGUAC
rnacentral:rRNA from 1 species